GUGGGGAAUAUUGCACAAUGGGGGAAACCCUGAUGCAGCAACGCCGCGUGAGUGAUGACGGCCUUCGGGUUGUAAAGCUCUGUCUUCAGGGACGAUAAUGACGGUACCUGAGGAGGAAGCCACGGCUAACUACGUGCCAGCAGCCGCGGUAAUACGUAGGUGGCGAGCGUUGUCCGGAUUUACUGGGCGUAAAGGGAGCGUAGGCGGAUUUUUAAGUGAGAUGUGAAAUACUCGGGCUUAACCUGAGUGCUGCAUUUCAAACUGGAAGUCUAGAGUGCAGGAGAGCAGAAGGGAAUUCCUAGUGUAGCGGUGAAAUGCGUAGAGAUUAGGAAGAACACCAGUGGCGAAGGCGCUUCUCUGGACUGUAACUGACGCUGAGGCUCGAAAGCGUGGGGAGCAAACAGGAUUAGAUACCCUGGUAGUCC
rnacentral:rRNA from 1 species